rnacentral:rRNA from 1 species
GAUGAACGCUGGCGGCAUGCCUAACACAUGCAAGUCGAACGAAGCCUUCGGGCUUAGUGGCGCACGGGUGCGUAACGCGUGGGAAUCUGCCCUUAGGUACGGAAUAACUCAUGGAAACGUGUGCUAAUACCGUAUGAUGUCGAAAGACCAAAGAUUUAUCGCCUAGGGAUGAGCCCGCGUUGGAUUAGCUAGUUGGUGAGGUAAAGGCUCACCAAGGCGACGAUCCAUAGCUGGUCUGAGAGGAUGAUCAGCCACACUGGGACUGAGACACGGCCCAGACGCCUACGGGAGGCAGCAGUGGGGAAUAUUGGACAAUGGGCGAAAGCCUGAUCCAGCAAUGCCGCGUGAGUGAAGAAGGCCUUCGGGUUGUAAAGCUCUUUUACCCGGGAAGAUAAUGACUGUACCGGGAGAAUAAGCCCCGGCUAACUCCGUGCCAGCAGCCGCAGUAAUACC